CUAGCCUACGGGGGGCAGCAGUGGGGAAUUUUGGACAAUGGGCGCAAGCCUGAUCCAGCUAUUCCGCGUGUGGGAAGACGGCCUUCGGGUUGUAAACCACUUUUGUAGAGAACGAAAAGUCUAUUGAUAAUACCGAUAGACGAUGACGGUACUCUAAGAAUAAGCACCGGCUAACUACGUGCCAGCAGCCGCGGUAAUACGUAGGGUGCGAGCGUUAAUCGGAAUUACUGGGCGUAAAGGGUGUGCAGGCGGGUGUGGAAGAUGGGAGGG
rnacentral:rRNA from 1 species